rnacentral:rRNA from 1 species
UAGGGAAUCUUCCGCAAUGGGCGAAAGCCUGACGGAGCAACGCCGCGUGAGUGAUGAAGGUCUUCGGAUCGUUAAAUUCUGUUAUUAGGGAAGAACAAAUGUGUAAGUAACUAUGCACGUCUUGACGGUACCUAAUCAGAAAGCCACGGCUAACUACGUGCCAGCAGCCGCGGUAAUACGUAGGUGGCAAGCGUUAUCCGGAAUUAUUUGGCGUAAAGCGCGCGUAGGCGGUUUUUUAAGUCUGAUGUGAAAGCCCACGGCUCAACCGUUGAGGGUCAUUGGGAACUGGAAAACUUGAGUGCAGAAGAGGAAAGUGGAAUUCCAUGUGUAGCGGUGCAGUGCGCAGAAAUAUGGAGGAACACCAGUGGCGAAGGCGACUUUCUGGUCUGUAACUGACGCUAAUGUGCGAAAGCGUGGGGAUCAAACAGG